GUCUGUACCCAAAACCGUCUUAGCUAACCUGUAAAAGAGGCGGGCGUCUAAGGUAUGGGGAGUGAUUGGGGUGAAGUCGUAACAAGGUAGCUGUAGGUGAACCUGCAGAAGGAUCA
rnacentral:rRNA from 1 species